UCCUUCCCCUCAUUAGCAUGUUGGGCCAGAGUGAACCUGAGCCGGAACUUUCUCUACAUAAGCAGGGCCUCCCGGCGUUUGGAGAGGUGGGCCCAAUCCUUUCAGUUGAAAGAACAGAACUGAGGUUUCCCUGAAGAAGAAAUUCCACUUGUGAACUGUAUGGAUAGCUCUCACCCAAGAGUUUCCAGCCUGGACUUCCUGAUGACCUGCCUGCCAGCCCCCAUAGUCAUGAACAAUGUCCAGUGAGGCAUACAUCAAUCCCUGGAAAAUAGGAUGUUAAUGACCAAGACUAUGCAAGAAGCAAAACAGUUUGACAAGUGAGAGGACAACUAAGGGAUGUGCAAGAAUGUUCCCUCGGGAGGAAGCUAGCUGCCAUGCCACAAGGACACUCAAGCAGCUCAGUGGAGAGGCCCUUGCAGUGAGGAGCUGAGACCUCCAGCCGAUAGUCAUGGGAGUUAAGUCAUCUUGGAAGUAGACUCUUCAGCUACAGUCAAACCUUCAGAUGCCUAUGGCCCUGGCUAACAUUCUGAUUCUAUCCUCAAGAAAGGCCUUAGGCCAGAAGCACUGUUCCCAGAUUCUUGACCCACAGAAAGUAUGAAAUCAUGACUGUUUCUGUGUUAGGCUGCUAAAUUAGAUACCAAUGCAUCCACUUGCCAGAAUUGUGUUGAGGAAUUGAGGACUAAGAGCAUGUAAAGAACUUUGCUAUUAUUUUUGUUAUCUGAGCCAGCAACUAAUGUGGAAAGAUUGUUUCCUAAUCACUUUCUUUUCAUCUCCCUAUCUUGACAUUUCUGUCUGGGUCACUUGUUUUCAGUUAGAAUUUUGUGUCCAGGAUUUUCCACAGCUGAGUACAUAAAUGCUAGAUUUGCUGAAUUUUUGCAUAUCCGCAAAUAUUUUUAUUUUACCCUGACAGGUAAAUGGCAUCUUGGUUGUGCAUUGAAUUUCUAGGGGAGGCCCUUGUCCCUCAGCACUCUUUAAAUGUUAUUCUGCCACCUUCUAGCUUCUCCCAUUUUCUUCUAGUGGAUAAUUAUUCUCCUCUCGUCUAGCAGAUGAUACCUGUCACCAGAUAGUUUUUCCUUUUUGCUUUGUAUAUCAGUUGUUAUUUUUUCCUUAACGUUUGUAAUAUUUCACUGUUAUUUAAAUUUUAGCAUAUAACCAGAUGUGUUUAGGUUGAUAUCUUUUCUUGUCAGUUCUGCAUAGAAGUCAGGAACCUCUUUCAGUAUGCAGCCUUGGGUCUUCAGCUCAGAAUAAAUGCUAUUUUAUCAUUUGUUUAA